ensembl:snoRNA
AUUCCUUUGUGGUAAGUGUGACGGUUGGGUUUUCAUGCUCAUGUGUGAAAUGUGCAUCUCUCAAACCAUGUUGUGACAUCAUAUUACCUGUCUGAUG